rnacentral:rRNA from 1 species
GUGGGGAAUAUUGCACAAUGGGGGAAACCCUGAUGCAGCGACGCCGCGUGAGCGAAGAAGUAUUUCGGUAUGUAAAGCUCUAUCAGCAGGGAAGAAAAUGACGGUACCUGACUAAGAAGCACCGGCUAAAUACGUGCCAGCAGCCGCGGUAAUACGUAUGGUGCAAGCGUUAUCCGGAUUUACUGGGUGUAAAGGGAGCGUAGACGGAUGGGCAAGUCUGAUGUGAAAACCCGGGGCUCAACCCCGGGACUGCAUUGGAAACUGUUCAUCUAGAGUGCUGGAGAGGUAAGUGGAAUUCCUAGUGUAGCGGUGAAAUGCGUAGAUAUUAGGAGGAACACCAGUGGCGAAGGCGGCUUACUGGACAGUAACUGACGUUGAGGCUCGAAAGCGUGGGGAGCAAACAGGA